UACGUAGGGAGCGAGCGUUGUCCGGAUUUAUUGGGCGUAAAGAGCGCGUAGGCGGCUCGGUAAGCCGGAUGUGAAACCUCCAAGCUCAACUUGGAGCGGCCAUUCGGAACUGCCGUGGCUAGAGUCUGGUAGGGGAACACGGAAUUCCUGGUGUAGCGGUGAAAUGCUUAGAUAUCAGGAGGAACACCAGUGGCGAAGGCGGUGUUCUGGGCCAGUACUGACGCUGAGGCGCGAAAGCGUGGGGAGCGAACGAGG
rnacentral:rRNA from 1 species